GUUCUACUCCCUCCGUCCCAAAAUUCUUGUCUUAAGUUUGUUUAAAUACGGAUGUAUCUAAUACUAAAACGUAACUGCUAGAUGCAUCUGUAUUUAGACAAAUUUAAGACAAAACUUUUGGAACGAAGGGCGUAUGUU
rfam:Triticum aestivum genome assembly, contig: Triticum_aestivum_CS42_TGACv1_scaffold_061495_1DL